GUCACUUUGGUCCUGCAUAGCAGUUAAAAUCUUUACAGGGAAUAUAUACCCUAGUUCAACUAGUGGAAAUAUUAGGCCAGUAAAAUCCACUUAAACACUUGGUAUCAGUUAAAAGUACUAGCAGAGUGUUUUAAUCUGUAAAGGAAUUAGCUUAGGAAAAGUUAGCAAAGAAAAUGGUGUCAGGAUAGAUUAAUCCUCCACACCACACUUACAGUUUAGUAGACAAACAAAACCGAAAUAUACACUGCAAUUAUAGCCCAGUCUGGGUCCUAGGAGAGUGCUUGGGCGGGUAGGAGAAGCCGGUAGAAGGUUAUUCAGCAAAUUCCCACCGAAACCGCGCUUAAAAUGGCCGCCGCGAGUGUAAACUUACACUCCCGGCGACAUAAACCAAAAAGAUGGCCGCCGCGCUAUCAACUGCGCAUGCGCGACUGGGCCGCAAGUGGGAAAAUAAAUUCAAUGGCCGCGCAUGCGCGACCGGCCGCAAAACAGUGGAAAUACCGCGGACAUAAACCGAAGGUGCCAAUUCAAGCACCAGAAGCCAGGUAAGUAGCCCCAGUCACUGGGGCAGGGAGAAAUCACCCCCUGAAGCAGUUAGGCAGCCCUCUCCUCAACACCAGAAGGGCACAAAACAGCAGUAACACAGAAUGACAUAGUACUAAUUGUAAUAAUAUCAUCUAAGAAUCAUUCAAUUAAUGUGCAGUAAUUAAAUACAACUAAAUGUAUAAAAUUCACAAGAGUAAUAAAAUGAUGUACUUAACUUGUCUGAGGGAGCAGCAAGAAAGAGGAGGAGUCAAGGAGCACUACACCUAU